rnacentral:misc_RNA from 1 species
GAUGAAGACGUAGCGAACUGCGAUAAGUAAUGUGAAUUGCAGAAUUCAGUGAAUCAUCGAGUCUUUGAACGCACAUUGCGCCCCCUGGCAUUCCGGGGGGCAUGCCUGUCCGAGCGUCAUUGCUGCCCUUCAAGCCCGGCUUGUGUGUUGGGUCGUCGUCCCCCCCGGGGGACGGGCCCGAAAGGCAGCGGCGGCACCGCGUCCGGUCCUCGAGCGUAUGGGGCUUUGUCACCCGCUCGAUUAGGGCCGGCCGGGCGCCAGCCGGCGUCUCCAACCUUCUAUUUUACCAGGUUGACCUCGGAUCAGGUAGGGAUACCCGCUGAACUUAAGCAUAUCAAUAAGCGGAGGA